CUAAUCCUACGGGGCGCAGCAGUGAGGAAUAUUGGUCAAUGGUCGGGAGACUGAACCAGCCAAGCCGCGUGAGGGAUGAAGGUACAGAGUAUCGUAAACCUCUUUUGUCAGGGAACAAAGGCGGGGACGUGUCCCCGGAUGAGUGUACCUGAAGAAAAAGCAUCGGCUAACUCCGUGCCAGCAGCCGCGGUAAUACGUAGGGGGCGAGCGUUAUCCGGAUUCACUGGGCGUAAAGGGAGCGCGGGCGGCACGGCAAGUCCGGGGGGAAAGCCCGGGGCCCAACCCCGGGACUGCACUGGAAACUG
rnacentral:rRNA from 1 species